UCACGGGGGAAGCGGAUCGCGUUGGAUUGAUGGGCGCUUGCGUGUUCAGCCCUUUUUUUGGGUGCAUUGACGCAAGUUGCUUAUCCGCUGUGGGUUUUCGGGGGUCGACUUUGGACCCCUGGGGACUGAGGGCUCCCUUCUACAGGUUGAGGACAGCGGAGUGACGACGCGAUACGACCCGUCUUGAAACACGGACCAAGGAGUCUAGCGCGGGUGCGAGUCGGAGGGUGCAAGCCCGUGGGCGAAGUGAAAGCGAGUGUAAAAACGAGCAGUUUGGGGCGGCAUAAGAUCGUUGAUCUUAAGACCGACCCAGAGCAGUUGCGCUGGGACCCGAAAGAUGGUGAACUAUGCCGGAGUAGGGCAAAGCCAGAGGAAACUCUGGUGGAGGCUCGUAGCGGUGCUGACGUGCAAAUCGCUCGUCGAACUUGGGUAUAGGGGCGAAAGACUAAUCGAACCAUCUAGUAGCUGGUUCCCUCCGAAGUUUCUCUCAGGAUAGCGGGCCGACAAGUUGUUUUGUGC
rnacentral:rRNA from 1 species